rnacentral:rRNA from 1 species
UUCCGAUACGAACGAGACUCUCCCCUGCUAACUAGUCGGUUGGAUCUUUUCGGUGAGUUGUGUGCCGGGAUCACCUCGAGCCGUGGUCUGCGUGGGGCUGCUGCCGGUUCACCUCACGGUGCUCUUCCGGUGGUUUGUCCUCGCUUUCUGUGGUCUUGGGGCCUCGGGCCACACACUCCAAGUCUGCCGCUUAUGCUAUAACUCUUCUUAGAGGGAUUCACGGUUCUGAAGCCGUCAGAGACUGAGAGCAAUAACAGGUCUGUGAUGACCUUAGAUG